rnacentral:rRNA from 1 species
CCCUUAGAUGUCCGGGGCCGCACGCGCGCUACACUGAAGGAAUCAGCGUGGCUUUCUCCCUGACCCGAAAGGGUUGGGAAACCCGUUGAAUCUCCUUCGUGAUAGGGAUUGGGGCUUGAAAUUGUUCCCCACGAACGAGGAAUUCCCAGUAAGCGCGAGUCAUAAGCUCGCGUUGAUUACGUCCCUGCCCUUUGUACACACCGCCCGUCGCUACUACCGAUUGAACGGUUUAGUGAGGGCCUCGGAUUGGUCUCGGCCCGCUCUUUACCGGGCGGCGCCGUUGGUCGAGAAGACGCUCGAACUUGAUCGUUUAGAGGAAGUAAAAGUCGUAACA